rnacentral:snRNA from 1 species
GUGCUUGCUUUACCAGCAUGUAUACUAAAACUGGAACAAUAUAGAGAAGAUUAGCAUGGCCCCCCACCCGAGGAUGGCACAUGAAUUUGUGAAGUGGUCCAUAUUUUU